UACGUAGGGUGCGAGCGUUAAUCGGAAUUACUGGGCGUAAAGCGUGCGCGGGCGGUUCGUUGUGUCCGAUGUGAAAGCCCCGAGCUCAACUUGGGAAUGGCAUUGGAAACUGGCGGGCUGGAGUGUGGCAGAGGGGGGUGGAAUUCCACGUGUAGCAGUGAAAUGCGUAGAGAUGUGGAGGAACACCGAUGGCGAAGGCAGCCCCCUGGGCCAACACUGACGCUCAGGCACGAAAGCGUGGGGAGCAAACAGG
rnacentral:rRNA from 1 species